UAACUGCAGAAAGCCUGGGCAUCU
rnacentral:misc_RNA from 1 species